CCUACGGGGGGCAGCAGUGGGGAAUAUUGGACAAUGGGGGGAACCCUGAUCCAGCCAUGCCGCGUGUGUGAAGAAGGCCCUCGGGUUGUAAAGCACUUUCAGUGAGGAAGAACGCCUGGUGGUUAAUACCCAUCAGGAAAGACAUCACUCACAGAAGAAGCACCGGCUAACUCCGUGCCAGCAGCCGCGGUAAUACGGAGGGUGCGAGCGUUAAUCGGAAUUACUGGGCGUAAAGCGCGCUGAGGUGGCUUGAUAAGCCGGUUGUGAAAGCCCCGGGCUCAACCUGGGAACGGCAUCCGGAACUGUCAAGCUAGAGUGCAGGAGAGGAAGGUAGAAUUCCCGGUGUAGCGGUGAAAUGCGUAGAGAUCGGGAGGAAUACCAGUGGCGAAGGCGGCCUUCUGGACUGACACUGACACUGAGGUGCGAAAGCGUGGGUAGCAAACAGGAUUAGAUACCCGUGUAGUC
rnacentral:rRNA from 1 species